AGAGUUUGAUCAUGGCUCAGAUUGAACGCUGGCGGCAGGCCUAACACAUGCAAGUCGAACGGUAACAGGAAGAGGCUUGCUUCUUUGCUGACGAGUGGCGGACGGGUGAGUAAUGUCUGGGAAACUGCCUGAUGGAGGGGGAUAACUACUGGAAACGGUAGCUAAUACCGCAUAACGUCGCAAGACCAAAGAGGGGGACCUUCGGGCCUCUUGCCAUCGGAUGUGCCCAGAUGGGAUUAGCUAGUAGGUGGGGUAACGGCUCACCUAGGCGACGAUCCCUAGCUGGUCUGAGAGGAUGACCAGCCACACUGGAGCUGAGACACGGUCCAGACUCCUACGGGAGGCAGCAGUGGGGAAUAUUGCACAAUGGGCGCAAGCCUGAUGCAGCCAUGCCGCGUGUAUGAAGAAGGCCUUCGGGUUGUAAAGUACUUUCAGCGGGGAGGAAGGGAGUAAAGUUAAUACCUUUGCUCAUUGACGUUACCCGCAGAAGAAGCACCGGCUAACUCCGUGCCAGCAGCCGCGGUAAUACGGAGGGUGCAAGCGUUAAUCGGAAUUACUGGGCGUAAAGCGCACGCAGGCGGUUUGUUAAGUCAGAUGUGAAAUCCCCGGGCUCAACCUGGGAACUGCAUCUGAUACUGGCAAGCUUGAGUCUCGUAGAGGGGGGUAGAAUUCCAGGUGUAGCGGUGAAAUGCGUAGAGAUCUGGAGGAAUACCGGUGGCGAAGGCGGCCCCCUGGACGAAGACUGACGCUCAGGUGCGAAAGCGUGGGGAGCAAACAGGAUUAGAUACCCUGGUAGUCCACGCCGUAAACGAUGUCGACUUGGAGGUUGUGCCCUUGAGGCGUGGCUUCCGGAGCUAACGCGUUAAGUCGACCGCCUGGGGAGUACGGCCGCAAGGUUAAAACUCAAAUGAAUUGACGGGGGCCCGCACAAGCGGUGGAGCAUGUGGUUUAAUUCGAUGCAACGCGAAGAACCUUACCAGGUCUUGACAUCCACGGAAGUUUUCAGAGAUGAGAAUGUGCCUUCGGGAACCGUGAGACAGGUGCUGCAUGGCUGUCGUCAGCUCGUGUUGUGAAAUGUUGGGUUAAGUCCCGCAACGAGCGCAACCCUUAUCCUUUGUUGCCAGCGGUCCGGCCGGGAACUCAAAGGAGACUGCCAGUGAUAAACUGGAGGAAGGUGGGGAUGACGUCAAGUCAUCAUGCCCCUUACGACCAGGGCUACACACGUGCUACAAUGGCGCAUACAAAGAGAAGCGACCUCGCGAGAGCAAGCGGACCUCAUAAAGUGCGUCGUAGUCCGGAUUGGAGUCUGCAACUCGACUCCAUGAAGUCGGAAUCGCUAGUAAUCGUGGAUCAGAAUGCCACGGUGAAUACGUUCCCGGGCCUUGUACACACCGCCCGUCACACCAUGGGAGUGGGUUGCAAAAGAAGUAGGUAGCUUAACCUUCGGGAGGGCGCUUACCACUUUGUGAUUCAUGACUGGGGUGAAGUCGUAACAAGGUA
rnacentral:rRNA from 1 species